rnacentral:rRNA from 1 species
UACAGAGGUCUCAAGCGUUGUCCGGAAUUAUUGGGCGUAAAGAGCUCGUAGGCGGUCUGUUGCGUCCGCUGUGAAAACCCGGGGCUUAACCCCUGGCUUGCAGUGGAUACGGACAGACUAGAGGUAGGUAGGGGAGAAUGGAAUUCCCGGUGUAGCGGUGAAAUGCGCAGAUAUCGGGAGGAACACCGGUGGCGAAGGCGGUUCUCUGGGCCUUACCUGACGCUGAGGAGCGAAAGCGUGGGGAGCGAACAGG